UGGGGAAUAUUGCACAAUGGGCGCAAGCCUGAUGCAGCCAUGCCGCGUGUAUGAAGAAGGCCUUCGGGUUGUAAAGUACUUUCAGCGGGGAGGAAGGGAGUAAAGUUAAUACCUUUGCUCAUUGACGUUACCCGCAGAAGAAGCACCGGCUAACUCCGUGCCAGCAGCCGCGGUAAUACGGAGGGUGCAAGCGUUAAUCGGAAUUACUGGGCGUAAAGCGCACGCAGGCGGUUUGUUAAGUCAGAUGUGAAAUCCCCGGGCUCAACCUGGGAACUGCAUCUGAUACUGGCAAGCUUGAGUCUCGUAAAGGGGGGUAGAAUUCCAGGUGUAGCGGUGAAAUGCGUAGAGAUCUGGAGGAAUACCGGUGGCGAAGGCGGCCCCCUGGACGAAGACUGACGCUCAGGUGCGAAAGCGUGGGGGAGCAAACAGGAUUAGAUACCCUGGUAGUCCACGCCGUAACGAUGUCGACUUUGNAGGUNNNGCCCUUGGAGGNNUGGCUUCCGGAGCUAACGCGUUAAGUCNNACCGCCUGGGGAGUACNGCCGCANGUUA
rnacentral:rRNA from 1 species